UACAGAGGUGCCAAGCGUUGUUCGGAUUUAUUGGGCGUAAAGGGUGCGUAGGCGGUCAUACAAGUCGGAUUGUGAAAUACCGGAAGCCUAACUCCGGAACGGCAUUCGAAACUGUAAGGCUCGAGAUCUGCAGAGGUGAAUUGGAAUUCUCGGUGUAGCAGUGAAAUGCGUAGAUAUCGAAGAGGAACACCAGAGGCGAAAGCGAAUCACUGGACAGAAUCUGACGCUGAGGCACGAAAGCUAGGGGAGCAAACGGG
rnacentral:rRNA from 1 species